rnacentral:rRNA from 1 species
GUCCGCCAGAGAAUUACAAGCAACCCGCUUUAAACCCAAAGGAUUUGACGGUAUCCCAUACCAACCUAGAGGAGCCUGUCCUAUAAUCGAUACUCCACGCUUUACCUCACCCACUCUUGCAUUAGCCUAUAUACCGCCGUCUCCAUGCUCGCCUGAUGACAGAUUUAGCCAGCUAAAUAGCCAACACAAAAACGUCAGGUCAAGGUGUAGCUUAUGAGGGGGCCAGAGAUGGGCUACAUUUCCUACAACAGGAAAUUACCUAACACAAUAUGAAAAUCAGCCUAAGGGCGGAUUUAGUAGUAAGCUUGGACAAGAUACGCCAACCUGAA